UAAUUUAGUGAACAGCUUGUUCCAUACUACUGUAAAUAUAAACUUCUUUUAAGAUUACCUGACAGCUGUGUUUGUUAUCUGUAAUUUGAACCGUGCUAAGAUUGUAAACAAAACUAAAUGAACCUUGUAAACAUAACAUAAUGAGAAAGCAGUUUUAUAUUGAAACGUGGUGUUUGUAAAUGUUAUUUCAUUUGUCUUCCAAUGAAUGAAGUUGAAAGUCAUGCCUACUUGUUCUGUCUUUCCAGGUGGAAGAGGCUGUUCCACUGCUACUGCACCAGGACAGAUCCUGUACUGUAGUGCUCGUGCUGGCCAGGGGACAAAGUUGGAGACACUGGCUGUCCCCAUGGGCUGUGGUUUACAGAAAGGGCUCUGCUGCACUGUCCAAACUCGGCAGCAGUCAGGAGCUGUUGUCCAUGGGACAGUCACGUGAACGCCAGGGUUCGGCUUUGUAUCAACCUGGACAUGAUGUGGGUCAAUGCUGACUAAAGAAUACACCUGGCACAGUGUCAUGAAGGCCAAGUUUCAGGGAUGUUUUUCAAUAAAAGAAUCAUUGAAGAUA